CGGCACAUUAGUCGGAAAUCAUUUCAAACUCGGGAUAGACAGUAUAGUGGCCCUUCGGAAAGAAGUCCAUUCUGAAGCAUUUCGAUGCGUUUAUAACGGAGCUGAACGGAUCAGCCGAUAGAGUUUAUUAAAAAAAAAAAAAAAAAACACUUUUAACACACACAUAUAAUCCGUGUCGAACAGAAAAUACAAUAAAGACAUAUCAAUCUUAUUAAUUGGGCCACAAAUAAGAGCCCAUACAUUUUCUGAAUUUU
rnacentral:lncRNA from 1 species